ensembl:lncRNA
AUGCAUGAGAAUCCAUCGCAAUUCAUAAAGAUCUGUGAGCACACAGAUUCCAAAGAAGAAAUGAUCAGGGGCAUGACUCUAGGAAUCAUCACAGCGGUGGAAGAUGUGACAGACCCCAUUCCAAGCGACUCUAAUGAUGUGGCCCUUGUUAUAGAGGAAGCAGUUGUUCUGCGAGGACUUGGUGACAUACCAAAUGCGUAUGUGAACAUGAUGGGAUUGCUUUAUGCUCUUAACAUAAACUACCCAAAAAAUUCAGCGGCUGCUGAUGAACACUGGAGCGGAAUACUUGCAGUGCAAGAGUGCACUCCCUUAAAAAUACAUUGUUAAAGAUGUUGUUGAGGUAAGGUGUUGUGUAUUACUACCAAAGGCCUGUGUUUGUUGAACAUUUUACAGUUUUUCUUUUCUAAGUUCUCUGCAUCGAUGGCCUGACAUCUAUUUUCAACAAGAUUUCAUGUGUUUUAAAGUUAUUUCAGAAUUUAAGGGGUAUUAUUAAUGUGAAGUCUUAGUGUUAGUUUACCCAAAAUGAAAAUUCUUUUGUUAGAUAAUCAACCUCAUGUUGCUCUAAACCUAAAAGACCUUUGUUUGUCUUUUGAACACACAAGUUAUUUUUAAUGAAAUCUGCGAGCUUUCUGUCCCUCCUUUAACAGCCUACUCAACUACUUUCAAGGUCCAGAAAGGAAGUAAAAGACAUUCUUAAAGUAAUCCAAGUGACUACAGUGGUUUAUAUAUGUUUACAUGCAACAGUAUCUGCUUUCGCGUUCAAACAAGAAGCAUGUGCUGUCAUGUUCUUGUAAACAUGCGAUGGUGAAAACUAUUUAAUAAAUAAAAUGGUAUGAAACACUAGCAAUGAUUCAUAAAACUGAGCUUAAACCACUGAAAUCACUUGGAUUACUUUAAGGAUGUCUUUUCUGGAUCUUGAAAGUGCUAGUUGUGUAGGCUGUCAAAGGAGGGACAGAAAGCUCACAGAUUUCAUUAAAAAAUAUCUUAAUUCGUCUUCCAACAAAGGCAAGUCUUAACGGGUAUUGGAUGGCAUAAAGGUGAAAAAUUAACAAUGGUAUUAACAUUUUUGUGUGAACAAACUUUGUUUCUAAUGAAUACACUUUCCAUGCAUUUUCUUAAUACAUUGUCACCAUUAAACUUUAUGAAAUUGCAAUACCAUUUUAUGUGACAAAUUAAUUGUUUUAUUUUGAAAUGAAAUUAUUUUUCUGUAAUUACUAUAUAAUGUGGUUUUGAGUUUGUAUUUGCAAAUAUUCAGAAUUGUUUAGAAUUUUUACUAAGAGAAGUGUUAGCUGUAUUUUACAGUUAAAAAGUUGUUACAAAGAAAAAAUUCAUGGUAAUCCUUUGUUAACUGAGUUUGUCCUUAACAUUUAUUGAAUUGUAAAGGAAAAUAAAAUAGUUUGUAUGGAAAAAUCUGUUAAUUAUUUGGUUGAAUGUGCUAUUGCAAGUUGAGAAAAAAUUGAGUUCAAUGAACAUACACUUUAGUACAGAUAACUUGAAAAUGUAAGUUAUCAUAUUUCAACUAAUCUUUACAAGUCCAGGUUACUUGAAAUAAGUUGUUGGGUCAACUAUUUUAACUAUGUCAACUAAACUUUUUAAGUUGAACAUACUCAGUAAAUUAAGUCAAUAAAACUUAACUGAGUCAAAGCAAAAAGAUAACUAAAAAAUGUAAGUUGAGUGAACAAUUUUU